GUCCCCGGCUCCUACACCGACAUCACAAUUUGGUAUGCAACCUACCACUGGAGUACUUCUCAGGAUGUGUAGCAGGCUCGGAUAUGGCUGCCGACGUUCUCAAACGGGACCACCUCCUUCGGAUGGUUGAAGCUAUGCCCUUGUUUUUUUGUUAUAUCUGCUCUCUGGAGUCACCUGUCGUGAGUGAAGGGACUUUACAUCUUGU